GUGCUUGUUUUGGCAGCAUGUAUACUAAAAUUGGAACAAUGCAGAGAAGAUUAGCAUGGCCAUUGCACAAGGAUGACAUGCAAACUUGUGAAGUGUUCCAUAAUUUU